ACGGGUGAGUAAUGCCUAGGAAUCUGCCUGGUAGUGGGGGACAACGUUUCGAAAGGAACGCUAAUACCGCAUACGUCCUACGGGAGAUAGCAGGGGACCUUCGGGCCUUGCGCUAUCAGAUGAGCCUAGGUCGGAUUAGCUAGUUGGUGAGGUAAUGGCUCACCAAGGCGACGAUCCGUAACUGGUCUGAGAGGAUGAUCAGUCACACUGGAACUGAGACACGGUCCAGACUCCUACGGGAGGCAGCAGUGGGGAAUAUUGGACAAUGGGCGAAAGCCUGAUCCAGCCAUGCCGCGUGUGUGAAGAAGGUCUUCGGAUUGUAAAGCACUUUAAGUUGGGAGGAAGGGUUGUAGAUUAAUACUCUGCAAUUUUGACGUUACCGACAGAAUAAGCACCGGCUAACUCUGUGCCAGCAGCCGCGGUAAUACAGAGGGUGCAAGCGUUAAUCGGAAUUACUGGGCGUAAAGCGCGCGUAGGUGGUUUGUUAAGUUGGAUGUGAAAUCCCCGGGCUCAACCUGGGAACUGCAUCCAAAACUGGCAAGCUAGAGUAUGGUAGAGGGUGGUGGAAUUUCCUGUGUAGCGGUG
rnacentral:rRNA from 1 species